rnacentral:rRNA from 2 species
ACUUAAAUUGAAGAGUUUGAUCAUGGCUCAGAUUGAACGCUGGCGGCAGGCCUAACACAUGCAAGUCGAACGGUAGCACAGAGAGCUUGCUCUCGGGUGACGAGUGGCGGACGGGUGAGUAAUGUCUGGGAAACUGCCUGAUGGAGGGGGAUAACUAC